rnacentral:rRNA from 1 species
GGAAUAUUGGACAAUGGGCGAAAGCCUGAUCCAGCCAUGCCGCGUGUGUGAAGAAGGUCUUCGGAUUGUAAAGCACUUUAAGUUGGGAGGAAGGGCAGUCAGUUAAUACCUUGCUGUUUUGACGUUAACAACAGUAUAAGCACCGGCUAACUUCUGGCCAGCAGCCGCGGUAAUACGAAGGGUGCAAGCGUUAAACGGAAUUACUGGGCGUAAAGCGCGCGUAGGUGGUUCAGCAAGUUGGAUGUGAAAGCCCCGGGCUCAACCUGGGAACUGCAUCCAAAACUACUGAGCUAGAGUACGGUAGAGGGUGGUGGAAUUUCCUGUGUAGCGGUGAAAUGCGUAGAUAUAGGAAGGAACACCAGUGGCGAAGGCGACCACCUGGACUGAUACUGACACUGAGGUGCGAAAGCGUGGGGAGCAAAC